GAUGAAGAACGCAGCAAAAUGCGAUACUUGGUGUGAAUUGCAGAAUCCCGUGAACCAUCGAGUUUUUGAACGCAAGUUGCGCCCGAAGCCUUUUGGCCGAGGGCACGUCUGCCUGGGCGUCACACAUCGCGUCGCCCCCCACAACUCUCCGUAAAGGGAACUUGUGUUUUGGGGGCGGAUAUUGGUCUCCCGUGCUCAUGGCGUGGUUGGCCGAAAUAGGAGUCCCUCCGGUGGACGCACGAACUAGUGGUGGUCGUAAAAACCCUCGUCUUUUGUUUCGUGCCGUUAGUCGCGAGGGAAACUCUUUAAAAACCCAAAUGUGUCGUCUCUUGACGGCGCUUCGACCGCGACCCCAGGUCAGGCGGGACUACCCGCUGAGUUUAAGCAUAUCAAUAAGCGGAGGA
rnacentral:misc_RNA from 1 species